AAAAUCUUAUAAUUAUGAAUGCAUAAAUGGUAGGCUGAUAACAAGGUGAUGAAGAGAGACUAAAUAAAGGAGGAGGUGGUAAGACUUUGGUGCCAAUCACAGUGGGCCACCACAGCAACACUAGAAAGCAUAAUCAUUUCAUUAUUUUGUGCUAUUUCAGUGUUCUUUUCUUGUCAGUUGCAAUGUCUAAAAGCCUGGACUAGCUUCACUAUGUCCUUUGUGAACAAGCCUGCUAAAAAGGAACAACAGUUUACAAAGUGAACCUAGUCAGUCUCUUGCUGAAUCAGUUGAUGAUCAUGAGUCUCAGUCUACUCUUGUGGUUGAUACAGCUACAGUUUUUACAGCUACAGUUGAUGUACAGUCAAUUGUUGCUCAUUCUCCAUCACCCUAUUCUUCUACUUCCUCUACUAAUACUACUACUAGUACUAUUACCACUACAGAAGUCAGUGUUGGAGCUACACCACCCACUA